rnacentral:rRNA from 1 species
GACGUAGGGCGCGAGCGUUGUCCGGAUUUAUUGGGCGUAAAGAGCUCGUAGGCGGCUUGUCGCGUCGAAUGUGAAAUCUCAGGGCUCAACUCUGACAUUGCAUUCGAUACGGGCAGGCUAGAGUUCGGUAGGGGAGACUGGAAUUCCUGGUGUAGCGGUGAAAUGCGCAGAUAUCAGGAGGAACGCCGAUGGCGAAGGCAGAUCUCUGGGCCGUAACUGACGCUGAGGAGCGAAAGCAUGGGGAGCGAACAGG